rnacentral:rRNA from 1 species
UACAGAGGUCUCAAGCGUUGUUCGGAUUCAUUGGGCGUAAAGGGAGCGUAGGUGGACUGAUAAGUCAGUGGUGAAAUCUUUGGGCUUAACCCAAAAAUUGCCAUUGAUACUGUUGGUCUUGAGUACAGUUGCUGUGGGCGGAAUAUGACAUGUAGUGGUGAAAUACAUAGAGAUGUCAUAGAACACCGAUUGCGAAGGCAGCUCACAAAGCUGUAACUGACACUGAGGCUCGAAAGUGCGGGGAUCAAACAGG